GACGAACGCUGGCGGCGUGCUUAAUACAUGCAAGUCGAACGGAAAGGCCCUGCUUUUGUGGGUUGCUCGAGUGGCGAACGGGUGAGUAACACGUGAGUAACCCGCCCUUGACUUUGGGAUAACUUCAGGAAACUGGGGCUCAUACCCGAUAGGAUCUCCUGCAGCAUGGGGGGGGUUGGAAAGUUUCGGCGGUUGGGGCUGGACUCGAGGCUUAUCAGCUUGAUGGUGGGGUAGUGGCUUACCAAGUCAAUGAAGGGUAGGCGGCAUGGGAGGGUGACCGGCCUCAUUGGGACUGAGGGACGGCCCAGUCUCCGACGGGAGGCAGCGGUCGGAAGUCUUACACAAUGGCGCCGCGCCUGUUGCAGCAACCCCCCGAGCGGGAUGCCGUCUUUCGGGUUAAAAACCGCUGUCGACUGUGACGAGGCGUGAGUGACGGUAAUGAGUAAGGAAGCACCGGCUAACUACGUG
rnacentral:rRNA from 1 species